GCCAGAGACCGCCGACGUGUCAGAAGGACCGACUGUGUCUGAGGACGCCGGCCAGGCAGACAUUUCGAUGCUAAACGACAACUGGGCCCAGAUGAACAAGAGCACCGAGAAGCUGCUCGGCCCCAAGAAACGCCGGAGCUUCCUUCACCAUGCCGUCCCGAUGGUGCUCGGUGUAGCGUUCCUCAUGCUAACAGUCACCAUCCUCGACAGGAUCACCAGACGGUGAAUACUUACAUGCUCACGUCUGAAGAAGCAAGAACGCCCACCCUUUUGCUCUCC